rnacentral:tRNA from 1 species
AGCCUCUACCGGGAAUCGAACCCGGAAAUCCAGCUUAGAAGGCUGGUGUUAUAUCCAUUUAACUAUAGAGGC